AUCUGAGGAAGUGGAGCCCUUGAGAAUCCCUGGGAUGUGUUACUGCGUGCAGAGGAAAGAACAGCAUUUAGUGUUUCCUGGGGUGGCCGAGGCAGGAGGAUCUCCCAGUUCAAGGCGAGGCUGGGCUACACGACAGAGGGGAGUCAGCUCCUGCCAGCUCUCAGGAGGCCCCAGAGCGCCCACUCUCAGGGCCAAGCACGUCUGUAGCGGGCAGAGUGCGUGCCCGGGCGACAUGCUGACCUGGACCCGGGCUGACGGAGCGCAGGUCUUCCCUCCUGCAGCCCGUGAGAAGCUUUUGCAGACCUUCCGACACUGGGAGCGAGAACCAACUCUGGCUCCGUGAGCUCCUCCAACAGCUCAAUGUCAGCCUGUGAGCAAUUUUACCGCUCAGAUCUGUGAGGAUAACGAGUCUCCUUGGGGUUGGUGGAGCAGCUCUUACUGGGGAGCCAGAAGAAGUACGUGGAUCUGGACUGCAGCCCAGGAGCACUUGCUGGGGCAGCUUGGGAGAUGUCACCAGUAGUGACGGGAAGGACCCCUGGCUCUGUCCCAAAGUCAAAGUGACUGUGAAGGGAGACGUCGUGAUGGAUUCAGGAUUGAGGCUGCCACACAGCACAACUAAAGACCCUCAGAAAAGAGGACUCCAGAGCUGCUGCAGGAAGUGGCCAGGACCAUGGGAUGAGUGCGCUGGAACUGAGGGGGAGGACUUUAAAG
rnacentral:lncRNA from 1 species